rnacentral:rRNA from 1 species
GAUGAACGCUGGCGGCGUGCCUAAUACAUGCAAGUCGAGCGAACGGACGAGAAGCUUGCUUCUCUGAUGUUAGCGGCGGACGGGUGAGUAACACGUGGAUAACCUACCUAUAAGACUGGGAUAACUUCGGGAAACCGGAGCUAAUACCGGAUAAUAUUUUGAACCGCAUGGUUCAAAAGUGAAAGACGGUCUUGCUGUCACUUAUAGAUGGAUCCGCGCUGCAUUAGCUAGUUGGUAAGGUAACGGCUUACCAAGGCAACGAUGCAUAGCCGACCUGAGAGGGUGAUCGGCCACACUGGAGCUGAGACACGGUCCAGACUCCUACGGGAGGCAGCAGUAGGGAAUCGUACGCAAUGGGCGAGAGCCUGACGGAGCAACGCCGCGUGAGUGAUGAAGGUCUUCGGAUCGUAAAACUGUGUUAUUAGGGAAGAACAUAUGUGUAAGUAACUGUGCACAUCUUGACGGUACCUAAUCAGAAAGCCACGGCUAACUACGUG